rnacentral:lncRNA from 1 species
GGAAGAUGUGCAGCUGAAAAUAAUGUUAUAUUUUGUAUUAAUUUGCCUUUUUGUGCUUGUGUAAAUCCAGCUGGCACAAUGGGCCUCCUGAGCAUUUAACUAAUAGUGUGAUUAUCUCCAUUUCACUAAGGAAGAAGUUACCCCAGGGGAAGCAACGAAAGGUCCAAAAAUCUGGCUUCUAACAGCAGGGCCCGACUUCGAGAGAACAUCGCUUCCAACAUAUAUUCUGUGAACAUCAGCCAGGUUUGCUUUUUUACAGUGAGUUUCAGGAUCCUCUAUCUUCUUUAGCCAGUGGACUCUAUCUUAUGUCUCUAGAGAUGUGAAAACGCCACCAGAGACUGCUUGGUACUAUAUUGAGAGAAACCGCCUCUUCUGGAACAGCUGAUUUUUCAUCAAGGAUAAGCAUUUUUGUCGAACUACAACCCAUUUAAAAAGAGAUGGCAUGUAAUGUCAUAUGGAGUUAAAUGGGGUUUUUGAAUUGAUUCAGCUCAUAGCUCCUGAGGCCGUGCACAAAGGCCAGAUUUGAGGUAAAGCCUAGAUAUAAGCCCAGCUCUACCAUUUAUUCACUGAUAACUGUAGGUGAGUCCCAGAGUGUCUCUGAUCUGGUUCCCUCAUCAAUAAAGUGGGGGAUU